rnacentral:rRNA from 1 species
GACGAACGCUGGCGGCGUGCCUAACACAUGCAAGUCGAACGGAAAGGCCCUGCUUUUGUGGGGUGCUCGAGUGGCGAACGGGUGAGUAACACGUGUGUAACCUGCCCUUGACUUUGGGGUAACUUCAGGAAACUGCGGCUAAUACCGGGUAUGAUCUCCUGCUGCGUGGUGGGGGUUGGAAAGUUUCGGCGGUUGGGGAUGGACUCGCGGCUUAUGAGCUUGUUGGUGGGGUAGUGGCUUACCAAGGUUUUGACGGGUAGCCGGCCUGAGAGGGUGACCGGCCACAUGGGGACUGAGAUACGGCCCAGACGCCUACGGGAGGCAGCAGGGGGGAGUAUUGCACAAUGGGCGGAAGCCUGAUGCAGCAACGCCGCGUGCGGGAUGACGGCCUUCGGGUUGUAAACCGCUUUCGCCUGUGACGAAGCGUGAGUGACGGUAAUGGGUAAAGAAGCACCGGCUAACUACGUG